rnacentral:rRNA from 1 species
GCUGUGAGGCAUUGAGCUAACUGAUACUAAUUGCCCGUGAGGCUUAACCAUACAACACCCAAGGGGUUU